UGUGGCAGUGGUUGCGGCAGCCUGUGUGGUCUGCCCUCCUGGCCUUAGCAGCCCGUCUGGAGAACUGGCAGGAGUGAGCUUCCCCGGGAGACCUCAGUCCCCGGGUGAGCUCUCUAACAGCCCACCAAGGAGUCACAGGGCUGCUACCCAGCUGCAGUGAGCAUGGCAGCUCAGGGAGAUCUGCUGUGCCUCACUGAUUGUAAUCCAGAAAAAACACAAGCCCCAGGUAUCAAGAAGAGCGGGGAGAAGAAAGUUAGGCUAUGGAAAGCAGAACAGGUAGCUUCUCGCUAUCCUGUCUUCUGCAAGGACUUUGGCAGACUCGUGUGUCUGUGGUAGUUCUGCUGGUGCUUAGGAUCUCUGUCAGAUGCAUUUUCUUUAGAGAGCUAGUGAACCUUUGCAUACGAACAGGAAAGCAUGUCAUUUUUCUGAUGCUGAAUUUCAAUAUUUGUAGUAUUUUUCCCCUUGAGGUGGUUUAGGAGUAUAGAAGAUGAUUAAAAUGAAAUUUUUAUUGUUAUUUCUAGUGCAUUUUCUGUGCUGUAAACACUGAAUGAAAAGCUGAAAGGCGGUCCCAUCCCCUGGAGAGACUGGAGCCAUCUGACCAAGAAAUGAUUAGACUAGUCAGUGGGGAAGACAAGGUGAUGGGAAGACGUGGGGGGCUGUGAGAUUUCAAGAAGCUGUGAGUGGGAUGGCCAGUUUCUUCUUCUUAAUGCUGAUCUGCUCCAAGUGACCUUUCUAAGGAUCUGAAGUUCUACCCAAGAGGAUAUGGAGCAAUUUUCCUCUUUUGCUGCUGUUCAUGCAAACUCAGGAAUCUGUGAAUUAUACCAGGACAUUUGAAUUCCCAUGUAAUCUUCUCUGAGAGAUCCCUUAUAUGAGCUUGCUAGAGGCAGUAGGAGCCACAAAAGACCUUUCUCAGAAACAGAGAUUGCAGAUGACCCCAUGCUGAGAAGAAAGGAUGCAAACCAAAAACUUCUGAGGCCACAUGAUUAAGAUCAGAGUCAAGAACUCGACUGUGCAGAUCUCAACCACUGGGACCAUUGCUGUGCACUGAGAUAACCAAAAAAGGGAGGCACAGUGCUCUCACUCUAAUACCACUGAUUGAUUGCCACAGUGCUAUGGAUCCCAGCUCCUCUGGAACCUGCGAGAAACUCCAUUUCAUACUACUACACUGACUUCUCAAAAAAAGUUUAAGUGCUUAAUAAGCAUAAAUUAAUUCAGCCAAAAAAUGUUUCUGUGAUGUGGGAAAAUCUGUGGUGCCUAGCUGACACCACUUACUUGACUUGCUUAAUAUUACAAACUGAAUCAGUGAUGCAGAUAAGAACCCAACUCAGUAUCCCUAUUUCUGACCCCUUGCUUUGUACAGUAAAUGCGAACAAGGCAAACUCCCAAUACUCAACAGAACAAGUGGCUGGAUUGUGGCUAGUGCACCUUUGCAUAGUAGUGCAAAACCAAUUCCUUUUAUGAAUUCCUCCUACCCCUUCAAAAACCAGCUUUAAUGAGAGGGAAAUGCUCUAAAAACUCACUCUUAUAAAUGUAGCACAGAUGCUUUUCUGCUCUUAAUUUUUUUUUUCUUCAUAACAGCGAGUGGCUUUAUUUAACAAUCAGAAUAUGGAUUCUAACUUAGGUGGCUAGGUUAGCUGACUAGUCUUUAGAUUUGGUUCCUUCUGGAGUCAACAGACAGGUGUGGAUCUAGGAGGUUCUUCCAGAGGAUGAUUCAGAGCAGAAGUCUAAGUCAGGUGCUCAGAUUUGAGCUGACUGAGUGCCUAAAGCCUUGACAAACUCUGUUCCCUGAUUGCAAUAGGUGGAGCUGGGAUUCAUCUGACAAUACAGUAUAAAAGAAAUGAAAUACAUGACAGAGAAAAGACCGAGAGGCGAUUAUCCCUAUGAUAUGCUUGUACAUCUGUGAGGGCUCUAAGCAGUAGGAAUAAAUGUAUAGUGGAGACAUCGAUGUUACAGGCAACCUUCUAGUUCAAUU